GAUUCCCCUAGUAACUGCGAGUGAAGCGGGAAAAGCUCAAAUUUAAAAUCUGGCAGCUUUGGCUGUCCGAGUUGUAGUCUGGAGAAGUGUUUUCUGUGCUGGACCGUGUACAAGUCUCUUGGAACAGAGCAUCAUAGAGGGUGAGAAUCCCGUCUUUGACACGGACUGCCAGUGCUAUGUGAUGCACUCUCAAAGAGUCGAGUUGUUUGGGAAUGCAGCUCAAAAUGGGUGGUAAAUUCCAUCUAAAGCUAAAUAUUGGCGAGAGACCGAUAGCGAACAAGUACCGUGAGGGAAAGAUGAAAAGCACUUUGGAAAGAGAGUUAAACAGUACGUGAAAUUGCUGAAAGGGAAACACUUGAAGUCAGUCGCGUUUGCUAGAACUCAACCUGGCUUUGCCUGGUGCAUUUUCUGGUGAACGGGCCAGCAUCAAUUUUGACUGCUGGAAAAAGGCCUUGGGAAUGUGGCACCUUCGGGUGUGUUAUAGCCCUUGGUUGCAUACAGUGGUUGGGAUUGAGGAUCUCAGCAUGCCUUUAUGGUCGGGGUUCGCCCACGUUCAUGCUUAGGAUGCGGCUAAG
rnacentral:rRNA from 1 species